GACGUAGGGCGCGAGCGUUGUCCGGAUUUAUUGGGCGUAAAGAGCUCGUAGGCGGCUUGUUGCGUCGACUGUGAAAACCCGCGGCUUAACUGCGGGCUUGCAGUUGAUACGGGCAGGCUAGAGUUCGGUAGGGGAGAGUGGAAUUCCUGGUGUAGCGGUGAAAUGCGCAGAUAUCAGGAGGAACACCGGUGGCGAAGGCGGGUCUCUGGGCCGAUACUGACGCUGAGGAGCGAAAGCAUGGGUAGCGAACAGG
rnacentral:rRNA from 1 species